CAUACAUAUGGGACAUACAUAACUAUUGGCGUAGAUUUGCUUAAUCGUUAUGCCUUGUAUUCUCUUGUCAAAUGUACACCGUAGAUUCUGUUGAACGAGUAUGAAAGCCAGUAUUCUCCUCUGCAAUGUACAAGCAUUUUCCUGUGCAAUGUAUGCUGUAUAUUCUGUUGAAUGAGUAUGAAUUCUCCUGUGCAACGUGCGCUGUAGAUUCUGUUGAACGAGUAUGAAAGCCGGUUUCGCGAGGACAAGGCCACUGGACAUUCUAUGCUCAUACCGGGUAUACAAUCUGAGAAUCUGCGUGUGUCGCCCGCACCAAUACCUGACAACAUUGUGGAAAUAGUUGCAGUUGAAACAGAGAUUGUAUGCAAGUCCUCAGCUGCUACUGCAUCUCCAAAAAAGACAGCUGGUAUAUCAUCUCGUGACGACCACAUUGAAGUCUGAAUUUGAAGUGCGAAGAUGCUUCAGCAACCACAUCGUACUUUUCCAUUGCUUUCAUUGUGCUUCUACUGUGCAUGUGUGUAACUUGUGGGGUAUACAUGUGAUGACAUUGUAUGCUGGCGCACGGUCAGAUUUUGUCCAUGCGUGUAACGUACACCUGCAUGUUAUGCAUCGAAAAGGAUCUGCCACUUGCGAUCCUGGGAAAAGUAUCACGUUAGCUUUGUCUUGUGUGGGCUGUACCAGAUUGCUGUUCACUUUUCUAUCUGUUGGAUAUGUGACUUUCUGCAAGUCUCUGGUGUAUGGUGGCCACUUCUUUGCUUGUCACUUUGUAUGAUAUUACAUUCUGUAUUCGCUGCUUCCAUGGCGUGGUCUGCAAACUGCAAUCCUUGGGCAAAUGUCAUGUUUGCUAUGUUGUGCUUUGGCCGUCAGCUUGUCUACACGUUGUAGUUGAAUUAUUUUGUUCCACAACUGACUUCCUGAAGUACGAUGGCCACUGCUUUGCAUGUCAUUUUA